rnacentral:lncRNA from 1 species
AUGAAGGAUGCAGAGAAGGCAGAGUUACUGAAUGCCACCUUUGCUUCAGUCUUUACUGCUCAGGCCAGCCCUCAGGAACCCCAGACCCUGGAGGCAAGAGAGAAAGGCUGGAGAAAGGAAGACUUUCCCUUGGUCAAGGAGGAUCGGGUUAGAGAUCAUUUAGGCAAACUUGACACCCACAAAUCCAUGGGCCCCAAUGGGAUGCACCCACGAGUGCUGAGGGAGCUGGCAGAUGUUAUUGCUAGGCCACUCUCCAUCAUCUUUGAAAGGUCAUGGAGRACAGGAGAGGUGCCUGAAGACUGGAAGAAAGCCARUGUCACCCCAGUCUUCAAAAAGGGCAAGAAGGAGGACCCAGGAAACUACAGGUCAGUCAGCCUCACCUCCAUUCCUGGAAAGGUGAUGGAACAGCGCAUCCUGGAUGUCAUCUCUAAGCAUAUGAAGGAUCAGAAGGUGAUCAGGAGUAGUCAGCAUGGCUUCACCAAGGGGAAAUCAUGCUUAACCAAGCUGAUAGCCCUCUAUGAUGGACUGAGUGGCUGGGUAGAUGAGGGGCAAGCAGUGGAUGUCAUCCACCUUGACUUCAGCAAGGCUUUUGACACUGUCUCCCAUAACAUCCUCAUAGGGAAGCUCAGGAAGCGUGGGUUAGAUGAGUGGACAGCGAGGUGGAUUGAGAACUGGCUGAAUGGCAGAGCUCAGAGGGUUGGGAUCAGCAGCGCAGAGUCUAGUUGGAGGCCUGUAGCUAGCGGUGUCCCCCAGGGGUCAGUCCUGGGUCCAGCCCUGUUCAACUUAUUCACCAGUGACCUGGCUGAAGGGACAGAGUGCACCCUCAGCAACUUUGCUGACGAUACAAAACUGGGAGGAGUGGCUGAUACCCCAGAAGGCUGUGCUGCCCUUCAGAGAGACCUGGACAGGCUGGAGAGGUGGGCAGAGAGGAACCUCCUGAAGUUCAACAAAGGCAAGUGCAGGGUCUUGCGCCUGGGGAGGAAUAACCCCAUGCACCAGUGCAGGUUGGGGGCUGACCUGCUGGAAAGAGCUCUGUGGAGAAGGGAGUGCUGGUGGACAAGUUGA